rnacentral:rRNA from 1 species
UAGGGAAUCUUCCGCAAUGGGCGAAAGCCUGACGGAGCAACGCCGCGUGAGUGAUGAAGGUCUUCGGAUCGUAAAACUCUGUUAUUAGGGAAGAACAAAUGUGUAAGUAACUAUGCACGUCUUGACGGUACCUAAUCAGAAAGCCACGGCUAACUACGUGCCAGCAGCCGCGGUAAUACGUAGGUGGCAAGCGUUAUCCGGAAUUAUUGGGCGUAAAGCGCGCGUAGGCGGAUUUUUAAGUCUGAUGUGAAAGCCCACGGCUCAACCGUGGAGGGUCAUUGGAAACUGGAAAACUUGAGUGCAGAAGAGGAAAGUGGAAUUCCAUGUGUAGCGGUGAAAUGCGCAGAGAUAUGGAGGAACACCAGUGGCGAAGGCGACUUUCUGGUCUGUAACUGACGCUGAUGUGCGAAAGCGUGGGGAUCAAACAGG